CUCAGUUCAGCUGUUGGUUUAGGGGUCAGAGCUCUAAGUUCCGAGGCGGCAGACAGCUCUCCUCUGGCAUUCCGACUCUGAUCAGUUGAUCUUGGCUGCCUAGACCAACAGUCAGAGGGCUUCUCAGACUAUAUGCAGGAUUAAUGGAAAGGAUGCCCCGAGCCAGAGAAGGUGUCUGCCGUUGAUUCCGGAUUGAGAGGGGAGAGCACGUGAUUCUAGAAGUGUGCUCUUUUGCCUGGAACAUUGCCUGAGCAGGGUCCGCUGGGGAGGACUCGGAGGUCCUGACUCAAGUCUGAGAUGAAGAUCUUUUCACCAUCUGAGCCACCUUGGAAGCCCCAAAAGAAGAUGCUAUCUAUGUGUAAAGGUGGAGGAAAGGAAUCCAGGCAGAGGAUACAUGAGCCAGGAAAGGACCUGAUGAGUUCCAGCCAAGGAAACCACUGAAUUAAGAUAAGGAGUUUUUAAAAACUAUCGCAGAGGUUCAGUUCUAGCUGCAAUCAAGUGAGCACACUGACGCAUUCCACCCUCUUCCUCCCACUGACUGCAGCGAUGAAACCUGCAUACACUAACUGAAGCAUCUGAGGGCUCUGAAGGUGAAUAGUAGCGGUCAGAUUGCAGAAGAGGCCCAAGAUGAUUCUUUUCCCAUAUAGGUCAUUAUAAAGUGCUGAGAAGACUCUUGAGAGUCCCUUGGACUGCAAGGAGAUCCAACCAGUCCAUUCUAAAGGAGAUCAGUCUUGGGUGUACUUUGGAGGGAGUGAUGCUAAAGCUGAAGCUCCAGUACUUUGGCCACCUCGUGUGAAGAGUUGACUCAUUGGAAAAGACUCUGAUGCUGGGAGGGGUUGGGGGCAGGAGGCGAAGGGAAUGAUAGAGGAUGAGAUGGCUGGAUGGCAUCACUGACUCGAUGGACAUGAGUCUGAGUGAACUCCGGGAAUUGGUGAUGGACAGGGAGGCCUGGCGUGCUGCGAUUCAUGAGGUCUCAAAGAGUCAGACACGACUGAGCGACUGAACUGAACUGAAAGUGCUGAGAAGAGGUCCCUGUGUUAUGCAGCACGUCCUUAUUAGUUAUCGAUUUUACAUAUAGUGGUGUGUAUUUGUCAAUCCUGGUUUCCCAAUUUGCCCCCCCUACCCCCCACAACCAUAAGUUUGUUUCUACAUCCGUGAGUCUAUUUCUGUUUUACGAAUAAAUUCAUUUGUACCACAUGUAAGCGAUAUCAUGUGAUAUUGCCUUUCCGUGUCUGACUGACUUUGCUCACUCACCACAUCCAGCAAUCCUAUUCUUGGGUAUUUACCAUAGAGAAAUAAACACAUUUACAAAAGCAAACAAGCUUUGUACAUAAGUGUUUAUGUAGUGGCUCUAGUCAUAAUCACCAAAAAUUGGAAACAAGCCAAAUGUCUUUCAAUUAGUGAAUGGAUAAACAAACCAUGGUGCCUCUACAUAAUGGAACACUACUCAACAGUAUCAUGAAACCAACUUUGAAUCAUUCAACAACGUUGAUAAAUCUCAAAGUCGUUAAGCUGAGCAGAAGGAAGCAGUCUGAAAAGGUUACCUAUUCAAUGAUUGCAUUUAUAUGAAAGUCUCUAAAGGACAAAGCCACAGUGAUGAACAACAGAUUAGAGCUGGAGAGAGAGUGUGACGGCCAAGGGACAACACGAGGGUGUUUGGGGCAGGAUUGAACUGUUCCGAAUCUUGAUUUUGGUGGUGGUUCCAUGAAUUUAUAUACAUGUUAAAACUUACAGGACAGACAGUGCCUACAAAAAAGUCAACUUUACUGUAUGUUAACUUUAAAAAUAAAACUGGAGAAUACCCAGAAGACUGUACAGACACAAAGCAGGCAGAAAAUCAUCAUUUUACUCAGUUUUUCCUUUUCUACUUAUCUAGGGUAGAAAACUGUUCAGGCCAAGUACUUUCAGGUUUAAUAUUCUACAUGUGUAUUCCUUCUCAAUUUCCAUCAAAGCAUCCAUGCAGCUUGAGUGACCCAGUGAAGAUCUGGAACAGAUAGCCAGGGGAAAGGACUGGCUAUCAGAAAGUUAAUGACUUGGCCUGAUGCCAUGUUUAAAGGAACAAGACUGACAUUCAAACCUUAAUGGAAGUAUUAAGGUUCAGUAUAAAGUAUUCAGUCCAGGAGACAAGGAGACAGGCUUUAGCUUUAAUCAGCUUUUCCAGCAAUAAUCAGCAAUACGUUCCAAGAGUUUGCUGGGUCAGCAAAUGACCAACUUCAAGUUCUUAAGCUCACAAGAAGGAUAAGCCAUUGCUCUUCUGUGAUCCUCAAAACAAAGCUCUAUAUACAACAGUACUAUGCCACCUGGCCCAAAAUAAG
ensembl:lncRNA